rnacentral:rRNA from 1 species
AUACGGAGGAUCCGAGCGUUAUCCGGAUUUAUUGGGUUUAAAGGGAGCGUAGGUGGAUUGUUAAGUCAGUUGUGAAAGUUUGCGGCUCAACCGUAAAAUUGCAGUUGAAACUGGCAGUCUUGAGUACAGUAGAGGUGGGCGGAAUUCGUGGUGUAGCGGUGAAAUGCUUAGAUAUGACGAAGAACACCGAUUGCGUAGGCAGCUGACCAGACCGCAAAUGACGCUCAUGCACGAAAGUGCGGGGAUCGAACAGGAUUAGAUACCCUGGUAGUCCGCACAGUAAACGAUGAAUACUUGUUUUCGGCGAUAUAAUGUCGGAGGCAAAGCGAAAGCGAUAAGUAUUCCACCUGGGGAGUACGCCGGCAACGGUGAAACUCAAAUGAAUUGGCGGGG